GCCUGGAUAGCUCAGUUGAUUAGAGCAUGGUGCUGAUAACACCAAGGUUGUAGGUUUGAUCACUGUAUGGGAUGCUAGAUG
rnacentral:tRNA from 1 species